UCCUACGGGACGCAGCAGUGAGGAAUAUUGGUCAAUGGGCGGAAGCCUGAACCAGCCAAGUCGCGUGAGGGAAUAAGGCCCUACGGGUCGUAAACCUCUUUUGCCAGGGAGCAAGGGCCGGGACGCGUCCCGGCCCGGAGAGUACCCGGAGAAAAAGCAUCGGCUAACUCCGUGCCAGCAGCCGCGGUAAUACGUAGGGAGCAAGCGUUAUCCGGAAUUAUUGGGUGUAAAGGGUGCGUAGACGGGACAGCAAGUUAGUUGUGAAAGCCCUCGGCUUAACUGAGGAACUGCAACUAAAACUAUUG
rnacentral:rRNA from 1 species